rnacentral:other from 1 species
AAAGUCCUGAUGUGUUUGUUGUACACCUAGUUUUGACCGAACAUUUUUUUACUUGGGAGUUCGAUGUUUCCAAAUGGAGNNGCCCACCUGCCGAGAGCGGGAUCAAAACGAAGGAAUACGACAACGGCACAAUCGGGACUUUU